CUCCAGCUUGCAUUUGGCCAUGACAGAGGCAAAGCAGAUGCUGCCAGUUAUAUACUGAAAAGUGUGACUCGGGCUCCCUGACCAGUGCAAAAUUGGAUCGUUCCUUUCUGCUUCAUGUUGAAGCAAGCUGGCGCAGCAGGAGGGACAAGUCAUUGAUCUUCCAAUUUAUCCACUACUCCUACAUAUCCUGAGGUCGAAGCAGCCUGGAGAGAUUGAUGGAGCUCUGGCCCCCAUCCAG
rnacentral:lncRNA from 1 species